AGGGGCCGGGUGCGCGGCGGGUUUUCUGUGGGGACUCGGCACCACGGUCAUUUUUACUCCGUGUCUGUGAAGGGGCGGCUGUUUGUUCCGGCAGCCAUGGCUCUGGGGGUAGCGCGAGGGCUGCGGGAGGCGGUUGCAACUGUUAGCGGAGCCGCGCGCGCCAGGGCCGGCGGUUGAAACCGUUCGAGGCGCCGCGCGCAUGGGGCGGCCGUUAGCGCUGCCGCUCCCGCUCUGUCGGCCUGUCUCCAGCUGCUGCCCGGCGGGUGUGCGCUUGUCCAGGGCUGCUGCUCCGGGGUGUCUCCCGCUGCUACCCAGCGGGUGUGGGGUUUGUCCCCGGCUGCUGUUCCGGGGUGUCCCGCUCGCGUCUCCGCCCGCUGAGGAGCAGCAGCCGGCUGGGAGAACGACCCGAUUUGUGAGGGGAGCGCCGGCCCUGUCAGCCGUCUCCUCAGCGCGGGCAGGAGCGCAGCGGCUCCCUGAGGGGGAACCCCCGCAGAGGCUGGGGCUGCUCCAGUCGGGCUCCUGUGUUGUUGCGGUGUUCGCCAGAUCAAAGGAAAAAAAACAGAUGUAAAUUAAGUUGGAACGAAGGUGUUCUGAUGGAAAACAGUUUUGUCAUGUGAUGCUAUCAGUGUUAAGGAGACAGCUGGCCAUAAUCAUAGAAGAGAAUGUGGUUUACCCACUGCAAUCUACACUGGUAACACAAUUUCUCAGCAGAUUCUUCUCAUGAACACCAGCAAGGACUCCUGCAUAAGAAAUUAUUAGUCAAGGCCUUUCUGCUUCUCACACCACCCACCAGCGAGUAGGCUGGGGGUGCACAAGAAGUUGGGAGGUGGCACAGCCAGAACAGCUGAUCCCAAUGGACCAAAGGGGUAUUCCACACCAUAGGAUGUCAAGCUCAGCAUAUAAAGCUGAAGGAAGAAGGAAGGAGUCACACUUUUGGAGAGAUGGCCCUUGUCUUUCCAAGUAACUUACGUGUGAUGGAGACGGGCUUUUCUGGAGAUGGCUGAACACCUGUGUGCCCAUGGGAAAUAUGGUACUAGCAAUAAUUCUCUUUGGCUAAGAUAAAAUUCUGUUGUUAAAUGUCCCUGUCUGGUGACUGCCCUUUGAAGAUGUGGAUUGUUUGUGUGAAAUGACUCAUACAGCUGUACCGAUGGAAAUUUUAACUAUUGGCUGAGUGAGCUAUCGCUGUCAUGGAGUAGAUGCUGGCGAAGACAGCUGUGAUUGGGAAGAAGUUGUGGAAGCGACAGUAAGCCUCUCCAAAGUACCACUCGCUGUGCAGCGCGUAGAUGAAGUUGAUGAGGGUAUUGAAAGCAGCCAUGGAGGCAUCAGAGAAGGCCAGGUUCACCAAGAAGUAAUUGGUCACAGUCCUCAUGCGCUUGUGAGCCAGGAUAAUCCAGAUGACGAUGAGAUUUCCAAAAACGGCCACUGCCACCACACCACCAUAAGCCAGAGACCACAGGGCAAUGCGCCAAGAGGGUUGCACAAACUGAUUGGAGAAGUUGGCUGCUGAGGAUGCUACAGGGGGAGAAACAUUUCCAGCUUGUGCUCCUAAUGCCUGUCCCCAGGGAUCGCCCACUGCAGCCUGGCUCCUGUUCCACCUGCUGCUCAUGCUCGUGUUCCAGCUGGCUGUGGGGACAGAAGUCAUCUUGGAUGUUCGUCUCCUCUCUUCCAGGAAUGAUGUGCCCUCCCACCUCCCUCUCCCAACCCUCCAAAAUCCCCACCAACAGAUAAGAAAAGGAAAGAAAGAAAAAAGGAAGUGAGGCAGCACAGCAGGUACGGGGAAGGAGAGAUCUGUCAGAAAAAGCUUUGGCUAUGGUGUUCAAACUGUUAGAAUUGCUGUACCAGUCGAGUCAGGAGAGCUACCUCUGAGUGGAACAGCAUCCCAUUCUUUCUCUGUACGGCCACCUCUUGCUUUUGCUGAAGCAGAAGGGGACUGGGAGCCAAGGCACAUUUUAUAGGCUUGUGAGUUCUCAGCGUCACAAAGGGAGUGGAGCAACAAGCUCCGUUGACUGGUGUCAAGGAAAGAUGUUGAAUCUCCCAAGUGGAGGAGGCUGCUGGUACUGCAGAGCAUCUCAGAGGUGUGGACACACUUGUGUGGGCUGUUGCUUUCAUCCUGCUGAGGUAGUUCAGUCUCUUCUCUCCAGGCUGCUCUUCACUUCUAUGGAUUCUGCCACGUGAUGAGGACCAGCUGAUAGUGAUGUUUUCCUUUUCAAAGGGAGUCCAAUGGUAGAUCACAGUUACGGCAGUUUGGGGAGAAGGAAACAAAACAAUCUCUCAUCUAUGCAAGUGAGAUGUCUGGUGGCAAGUAACUAACGCUAACUGGAAUCUGAAUUGAAAUAGAUGUCACAGGCAUUCCUGACCACAGCAAACCUCAGAAAAUAGCCGUCAACAGCCUUGGCCUUGUACGCUGACCCUAUUUGAACUACGAUUACCUCUCCAAAAUUCACCAAGAUUGUAUUGGCAACCGGCAUGAAGUAUGAGCCCAGUCUGCCCAAAAGACUAAUAACUUACCCAUGAAGAUUGACUUCACAUGCUGUGUUACUUGAAUCUGCAUUGGAGGUACCAGAAAUGCUUUCCUUGUGAUGUUUUAUUGAAUUAACUCUUUGGAACCACUAAAAUCAACAGAGCUGACAAAGUGUGGGGCUUUGCUUCUUGACCUGGAGCGACUGCCUGAAGGCUGGGCAAGGGUUGAACUGGACUCUUCUGAGAGGUGCAGCUGGAUAGAAGAAGAGGCAAGAGAUGCAAGUUGACGUGCAGGAAAUUCAGAUUAGAUAUUAGCACAAAAAUUUCUUCACAAGAAGGGUAGUCAAAACGCUGGAGCUUGAGCCCACAGAGGCUGUGGUCUCCUUCCUCAGCAAUAUUAUAACCCCAUUUGGACAAGGCUCUGCGCAACGUGAUGUAAUUGGCGCUGCUUCUUGCAGGGGUUGCCCUAUAUGACCCCUGAGGUCCCUCCCAGCCUAAAUUGUUCUCUCUGAUUCUCUGUUCAGCCCAGAGAACAAGAGAAAGCAGAAAGCAGUGUAGGCAAUUUUACAAGCUCUUCAUAUUCACCGUACGCCCGAGCCAGCCAAGGCCAGCAUGGUUCCCCAAACUUCCUACGCUGAUAGAAUCAUAAGAGCCUCUACCCAAGUGCAUAUGGUGCUGCUGGGAGGCAGCCGGAAACGUUGGCAGAAGCACACGAGCACUUAACAGUGCCAGCAGACCUGCAAGCCAAGAGCAGCCUGACUAUAUGCAUGGGUGAUAGCUACUCCAAUCACCACCAUACAGACCUUAGCCCGGGUCCUGUCCGGCCAAAGAAAAAGAAGAAGGAGGAGGCGGGAUGGGGAAAGACUAGGAGAGUGCCACAGUGAAGAGGAUUUCUACCAAAUGGCUUUGCUCCUUCUGUGAGCCCUGGUCUCCCACACCUGGGUCUCCUCCUUGCUCUGGUCUUCCCGGCUGCCGAAACCUCUCACCAGCCCUGCUGCUGGCUGAGCAGGCGGCUCGGUGCGCGGGACCAAGCCAGACACCUGCCCUGUCACCUGCUCCUGCCAGAAAAGUGUGCUGCACCCCAGGAGCCUGGAGACGGUGUUCAGCCCUGCACAGACGCCUGCCAACCCCUGCACAGCCCCAGGAGGGCAAAGGGUGACAGGAGACUCUGUUAACAAGAGGCAGGACACCACAGAGGGGAGGGUGGAUGGAUCCUGGCCACGGAGGCAAUGGAGCUGCCAGACCAGGCUGCACCACAACAGCGCAGAAACUCAACUGCCUGUCAAAGCAGGACCGUAGCGACAUUGAGGGCUCUGCACAAAACUCUUCUGUUUGCUUCUGCAUUUGAUUAGCUGCCUGUGUUGUGUGUUUUAAUUUCCUGCCAUUGAAGCACGUUGCUGUCAUGGUGAUAGAUGCUAUAGAAAUGAGUAAAAUAAAUAAAUAAAAGUUCAGAACACUUUUGACCAAGUCUGCGCUAAUUAGCGCAUAAGACAAACAGACAAAUGUUUUCUGGGAUUUGUGUCAACCGUAUCCAGAUUCCUCCCCUGCUUCUCAGAUAUCCGCGAAGCCCUUUCUAGAAAUGGAAAUAAAGAAAGGCAGCAGAUGGUGCUGGGAAUACUCUGAGUAAGAUGUCUCUAUUCAGAGCCAGAUAUUAGUAGCAAACCAUCCAGUUAACAGGCACUGUGAAGCAGCGAAUAUUUAAUGUGAUGGUAGUAGAAAAGCGAGGAAGGUGAUAAUGCAAAAUGACGGGUGAAAGGCUAACCAGAAAACACUCAGAGGUGGUUUGGAUGAAGCUGCUCCACCUGUGAUGGGAAAAGCUGAUCUAGCAGGAAUAGAUGGAAGUGGGAGGAGAAAGAGAAGGGGGCUAUCCGUCACUCUGGACAUGGGAGGACAGAGAUUAAUCUUGUUAACAUAGUUUAUAACACCAAAACAAAUGGUGCAGUCGCAUUCUUCUCUACUUCUGGACUUUUUUUGAGAAAACAAAAUAGCAAUAAUCAUAAUUAGCACAGGGUUCAACCAAAAGCAUCAUAAGAGUUUUAAAGGCAUAAAACAAAGACUGCCUGUACUUUCCAAGUGAGGAAAGGACUUCUCUGAUUGACAGCAGGAAAUACAUAAAAAUAACUCCUUUCCAAAACCAAAGAGGAGUUAUUAUUAUUUGCAGAGCUUCUACCACAAGCCAUCAUCAUCCCCUCCAGACUAGCUUUCCUGUAGAGAUUCAAAGGUACAACACAUAUCCUCAAGCCAUGUAAUAUUGCUGCUAUUGCACUGUCAAUGCAGUUCUGAUCAAAUUUUCUUUGAUCAGAAAAUUAAUCUUAGCUGGAAAUGGAAAAUACAGGGGUAUUUACUGGACACAGUCAAUAUUAAGUUAUCAGAUGUUUAGUAAUUUUUUUCCAGGGUACCAUGAUUUCUCAGACUAAAACAAUCCCAAUUUAGGUUAGAAGUGUAAAUUCUAAUCUCAGUAAUAACAUCUCCUGUCAUAUUGCACUGUCACCUGCAUAUACUUUACAAUGCAAAUUGCCCCAAAUACAGCCUGUCUUUAAUCUCACACCACUAAAUGGAUGUCUAUAGCCUGAAAUCACAAGGCAUUCUUGGCCUUGCACAAUCUAACCUGUUAGACUUUGACCUUAAUGACAUAACUGUCCACCACAGUAACCGAACCUCUGCUGUUAAAAAUCCUUGCUGAGAAAUUAUAUCUUUGCAGAACAGGGAAGUUUUAUCAGUGCUGCUUUUGUUACAAUGUGAAAGAACUUGGUGUCGGAUGCAUUUUUUAUUCAUAUGGCUGUAGUCAGUACCUACAGGGAGGUGUGCAGCAGAAACAAGGCUAACAGAGGAGCAACCAGACUGCUGAAGAGGACCAGCACAAAUACAGAGCUAUACAGUAAGGGCUGUAAGUAAAGAAGUACAAGGUAAGAUCCCGGGAUUCAAGGGACCCUGUAAAACCCAGUUGUUCAAGGAUGGACCAACCAUCUGGACUGGUGAUCUGCUGAUCAAUGUGGUAAUUGUGGUAUUGGUGUUCCAGAUCUCAAACAUGUUCUGCUAAAUUCACCUCUUCUUAACAGAGCAUUUUGGUCUCUGCCAAAGCAGAAAAAUCAUCCCCCAAAUCCCAUCCAGUUGUCAUCAGAUGAUUUAACAAAAGUAGCCGCGAGCUAUGCAGGAACCAGCAUCUCCUGUGGCCAGCUCCAGCUGGUCACCUACACCUCUUUGGCCUCAGGAGGAGUAAAGCUCCAGCCAGAGAAAUCCCGUCUGCUCUCUCAGCAACCUGCAGCACCCAGGCCCAGCCGUCACUGGCUGCCAGUCACUGCCAUCACCAGCCACAGACCCCGCUUUGCCCAGGGGGAGCUCAGCGCUUGCUGCAUCAUCAUGUUUGGACAUGGCAUGUCUCCUCCUCACUGCAGGCACAGGAGGGCAGAGGCAGCUGUCAGGGUGGCAAGGAAAUGCUGAGGAAGGUGGAAAGCGACAGCUGGAGCCUAUGGAAAGCUGUGGGGAAGAGGGAGACGGCAGAGGACAAGGCCUGCAGGCUGGCACAGAUUCCUGUCAUUUUGUACAGAGACAGCCCUGCCUGCAGCAAGCUCAGGCUGAAAGCUGGCCACGCUCAGGAGCACCUGUGAGAACAAAUUGGGCAGCUGUGGGGAAAAACACAUUUUGCUGUGGAUGCAUUGCUAUGAAAAUAGCCUAACCUGCUGACUGGACAGCCUGCAAGUAUCUAACUAACGCAGCAGGCUGAGCGCCAAAGGUGUCAAUUUGCCAUAGCACAAUACACGUCCGCAGCGGCUGGCGGGGAAGGCGUACGUGAGUGGGAGAGGUUAAAUCCCUCACCACAUCCAUAGCGAAGUUCAGGAGGAGGCAGUUUAACACUAUCUAGGAGGUUACAGAGUAAGCAGUUUAGAUUGCUUAUGCAUCUGCAUUUACCAGCAGACUAAAGGUUUUGUGGUGGGAGGCAAGGAGUUCCUUCUGGUGGGUAAUGGAGACUCCAGGGGUGCCACGGCCAAAGCGGCAGAGAAGCAGCUUGCUUGAGGUGGGCUCCACCACAAGGUCCAUGCCAGCCCACACUGCCUGGCUGAGAUGGAGGGCACGCAGGAAGCACCUUCAGAGCUGGUUGGGUGCUCCCAGUGUUGUUCAGAGCAAGUUUUGAGCUUUAGCACCCAAAUUCUGCCUCAGGCCCCUGUUCAGAGCACCAGUCCUGUGCCAGGCUGAGCCCCGUGUCUGUGUCCCCUUUGAUGGAGCUGGAGCAACAUGGACUCUGCAGGAUGGCAAACCUUUUUGUGAUACCUGGACAUCUUUCUUCUCACGAUGUGCUAAUGGCAGAGGAUGGUUCUUGCAGGCUCCAAUGAGACUAAAUCACCCCUUUACAACUAGUGGGUAACACUGAUUUUGCUGAGCUGCAAAGGAACGGGGCUGCUACCGUGCUGUCAUGUGAACACCGCUCUGCAAACUCAACUUCUGAGUGUCCUGAUAUGCAUUUCCUUCUGGUUUUAGGGAGUUUUCUUCAAGGCCACAUAUAUCACCAGUCCUGUAAAUGAUUGCAGUGGCACCAGCUCCUGUCCUUGACUGUGCUUCUUUGUCAAGCGUGGCAGCGAUAGCAAUCACUCCGAUGUUUUGCAAACCUGCAGAUCACUAUUGCCAAUCUUGGUAUAAACAAGAACUAAUUAAUCUUCACCACAUCUCUGUGAAGAAGCCAGGCAAAAGCAAGCCAUGUAUUUCUGGUUAAAGCACCUGGGAGAUGGAGAGAAAGGAGUCUGGCUUCUGGCUUGGCAGCGGCCAGCCUGCAGCAAGACGGGGAGCGACUGCCAGCUGAGGACCUGCAUUCGGUAUUGCUGCUGUCCCCAAGCGAUCAAACGUCCUGACUCAACCCUAAAUCAGUGCAAUGGUUUAAAACCCAGGAAAUACAAUAAUAUUAAGACACAAGUUUUUUUCCUUGACCUUAUUAUUUCUGACCCUCUGUGGGCAACUGGUGUGAUGAUUUGAAGAGUUUAUUUUUCCUUUCGAAGAAAAUAAUGUUUUUCUACUUAGGAAAGAUGUGAUUUAACGAACUCACUGGAUUUUUAAUGAAGACUAGAGAUACGAACCUAUGGAAAAACUGCAAAAGUCAAUCAAACUGCAACUGUACAGAAGACAAGUUUGUUCUUCUACCGAUAUCACAAUAUUUACCUGUCAGUGUAAGAGAUCAGAAAGCUGGACUUUGCUUUGCAUUUCUGCCCAGUUCUGGCUUUACAAAGCUUGAUUUGGUGAUGUCCUGUCCAGCAUCUAAAUCAGUGAGCUCCCUCACACCAGUGAUGAUAUUUCCGCAGAAGAUGGAUUAAUCUCUCUUCUUUUUUUCCCUCAUUGAUCUGGGCCUUGAAACAGCUUUGGGGAGGCAGGCAGAUAGGAAACAAGAGGGGAUUUAAGCCUUUUGCUUCACCUUUUAAAAAAACUCCAUGCAGCAUCGCUGUCCCUGGAGUAGGCCCACAUUAUUACUACAGCCACAGCCAGAACAUCAGAGCUACAGCGCUCAGAGUUGUAGAUCAUCAGUCUGCUGUCACAGCCGUGAUAUAUGAUGGAAAAAGCCAUCCAUCUGCAAACACCGAGCACAAAGGGCUGUGGCUGCGAGGAUGCAGUGUGGCAUGUACGACGUACACAGCAGCGAGCAUUUUCCAAACAAAAAGGGCAGAAACGUGGUAAAUGGAGGCUCCUUGGAAGGAAAGGGGAAAGUGUUCAAAGUUUCUUGCUCCCAGGUCUACAAAAAAUCACAAAAUGUAUGUUCUCGAAUCCAGAAAUGACACCUAUGAAUCCAGCUACUGCUUCUUCUACACACACCCCUCUUUCCCUUAAAGAUUUACACCUGCUUUAGGAUCUUUACAGACAGAGACAUUUAAGGCUGUGAAAUCUUGGGAGAAGGUAAAAUGACAUGGUCAAUCAGCUGAUGCUUCUUCCCUGCACACCAGGGGACUCCAGCAAACCUCUUGUAUUUUGUGUGGAGACUCAGCUCUGACUAAAUAUUUCCUUUGGCACUAUAAAGGCAGAAAGAUAUUAAAAAAGGAGAGCAAGAGAGAGCAAGUGAGCAUAAGUGCUUACGUAUGGCUCCAGGUUUCACAGCUGAACUACAAUGAACUGGUGGUUUUCCAGGAGAGAAGCCAUUUCUUGUGUGUCAUUCUGCUGCACAAUACUCCAAGUGAGGAUGCAGUUAAAUACAUUGAUCUCAGAGUCCCUCAUGCAGAUGCAUCCAGGGAUACUGACCAUAAAAAUUUCUCCUGUUUAACACCUGUGACUGGGUGGCAAGCAAAGCUGAUGCUUUACAAAAGCACAUAUUGAGGAAAAAGUUCUGGUUGUGUUUUUUGUUUGUUUGUGUUUGUUUUCCUCUCCCCACAAGAAGUGCCUCAUCUAAAAGGCAGAAGCCACAAAGUGGAGAUCACUGCAAAGGGGAUCAAGCAGUUCAGUUACUCUGCCUUUUGCAUGGCAGCAGGAAGAUCAGUCAUUUAAUUUCAAACAGCUACAAUGCAAUUUUCAAAAUGUCUGCUUCCAUGCAACAUAAUACACUUGAAAUACCACAUUCUUAUUAAUAGUAAAUUAUGGCACAUUCAUCUAGCUGUUCUGAGAACGGUAAGUCUAGAGGUCUUUGACAAACACAUACUCUGUUUGUGGGGAAUGAGGUAAGGCACCGUAAUAUGAAAAAACCAUUUCUCUCCUCACAUCUUACAUACUUAUCAAUAUCUUAUUUUUGUUUAGAAAAAAAUACUGAUUUCUAAUAUUUUACCAUUAAUGUUACAAUUAAAAAAAAAAAAUAAUGUAGAUCUGCCAAGAAAACAUUUUAGUUCAGAACUAAUUUUUUUUUUUAAUUCAUGCUUUUCUCUCAAUAAAUAUUAGAGUUGAUCACAGAUUUUUGUUACAAAUAGUUCAUUUAUGGAACUCAGCUCUUUUUGCUUGCCAAAUCAUUUGUGAUAUUUAUGAGUUUCUUCAUAACUGCAAAACAUGCUUUGCAGAGCCAACAUGCCUUUAUAUCCAUCUGCCCAGCCCCUGAACUUUCCUAAGCGGAUGAUGAGCUUUGCUGAAGACAACAGUAAGUUGGCUGCAAUGAAUUUUUCAGUCGUGGCUGCACAGAGCUGACUUGGCUCUCUGUGAAGAAAAAGGGUGGAAGGGAAGGAAUUGCAGGACAACCAAGGAGGCAUCCCAGGAGGACAGACCAGAUGAGUGAAUCCUGGAGAUCCUGGCUGCAAAGUACUUAAGCGCUUUUGGCAGGGGAGCGAAGCCCGUCCAGCCUUACACCAAUAAACUCAAUUCCCUUGGGACCGCCUGGCAUAAGAAAAGCAUGGGAAGGUAUGAAAGAAACUGGUGGCUGAGGUGAUAUCAGAUGUAAAAUAAUUCUUCAGAGAUCUCCUAAUGAAUGCAUUGGCACAGUCUAAAAGGAAGAAAACGUCUGGAGUACAGCAGGCAGCACACUGUGCAGGGGAGGGGGCCAGGACAGCUGAGAGGGUGCGACUGUGUGGCUGCAGCUCAAGAGGGCUUCGCAGUUCUUCCGCUUGAAAUUCUGCCCCAUUUGGGGUGUUUUUUGUUUGUUUGUUUGUGUUUUGUUUUUCUUUGUGUGUGUUGGGGGCGGGUCUGUCUUAAGCUAUUUCAUUCAGUGCCAGCUCCUGAAAACUGUAGGAGAAAAGCUCUUAAGGAAAUAAUUUAUUUUAGCUUAAAUAGCUUGGGGCAGCAGUUUACAAAGGCAACGAAGGCCUAGGUUGCACUCUCCAAGACACUCAAACCAUCACGGGCAGAGUUUUCGCAUUUAAUUCAGGAACUAAGUUUCGGCUUGCACACUUGCCCCAUUUAUCCAUACCCAAGUGUGGGCUGUCUGCAGUGACACCUGGGGGGACGGGUCUUCUUUCUGACAGGCAAUGGGAAGAACAGGACGGAACUGCCGAAGUCAAUUUCUCCUCACCAGAUUGCCAUGGACAGCUGAGAUGCUGCCAUCCUGACCUCUAUGGCAAAACUCCCAAAGUACUCUCAUCCUGGCUUCCUCGGCCCCACGCAAGGUGCUCCCACUCCCCUGGGACUCUUGAACUAGGACACCAGUUAAAGGAUGUUGCCCUCAUUUGCAGAUCCUUGGGAAGGGCUGAUAACUAGGAGAAGAUUUCCAGAACAGGUUGUCACCCUUGACAACAGCAUGGGAAGAGCAGGUAAGUGGCUUGUAUGCAAAAAAACCCAAACAAACCAAAACCAAGCAAAAGCAACUUACUAUGCAUGCAUUAGAAAGGAAAAAUAACAAAAUAAAUAUUUUUAAAGUAUAAUAGUGUUAAUAAAAAUUUUUAAACCCCCCCCCCCCGCUUUAAGCCUUCACACUGUUUGCCUUAAGUAGACAGAUAAUUAUCACAGGUAAGUCUUACUAAAUCAUCUAGAUGAACUUCUGAUUUGCACUGCAUCUUCAAUAGCAUGAUUUAUGUUGCUUAAACAGCGAGCACCUCUAUUGUACUUGAGUUUUGUGAUUUCAAGGCAUGAGCAACUGUAAUUAAAGAGCCUUUUUGGAGCAAGUGUAGCACUGUGCAGUGUAAUAUGACAUUCAGCAUAAAUCAGCAUCACUUUACAGAGUUCUGCUUAUUUUCACUUGUGCGCUUCAGCUCUGUCAUUUAUCCACAGUGAAGCCUCAAACCAUGGUAUCUUACCUAGUUCAUUCAGAUUUUCCCAUUUCUAGAAAUCUCCAUUAUUUUUAUCAUGCAGUUUAUAUGUUUAAUUCUCAAAGAGCUAAAUUUGUUUGGCACAAUAAUGAUUUUACUAGCCUAUUGCCUAAUAGAAACAGUCCUAAAACAGGGCAGCUAAUGAACAUGAGUGUGAGACAUGAGCAUCAAGGCAGCAUCAUCCAUUCACAUAGCAAUGUAUGUGUGCAACAGAAGAGACUAUUUUCUUAUUUUUUUGUCAAAUAAGAUGCCAGCAGGAGCUGAGACUGCUCUUUGAUUCAGCGAUAAUGAGCGACUGUCGCACCAACGGAAUUUACAUUUUGCCAAUGGUAUGAAAAAACACAAACCUAUUCUUCUAAGUUCAGAUUUCGGGCCCUCCCCCCCACAUACAUGCUGAUUUCCUGAAGUUUGAGUGCUCCAAAGCUCACACUGAUGUGAAUGAAAAUCUUGGCACUUUAUUGAACGAUGACGUCCAACAUGAAAGGUAAAUGUAGGGCAGAUGACUACCUGUAAACAUUCCUCCUGGAGGAUCUUCUCCAAAGCACAUUAACCCAUCUUCCUCUUCCCUUUCCCCUGCUGCAAGCAAAAUCAAAUUUUAAUCAGUUUCUGCCAUAUCUGCUUCACUUGGAAACUUUCUGAAGUAAUAUUAGAAAAACCGUACCAGGCUCCAUAGCAGGCAUAAGCGCGUUUCUCUGUGCUGAUGCCUACCAUGUCAAACCAUUAUCUAGGCUUCCCGCUGGCUGAUGCUGCUGGAAAAAAGAUGAACUUUGACUUCGGGGGAGGCAGCGAAAGGUAAUUUGUUCUGUGCAUCACAUCUCAGGCAGGAAGGAGGCUGCAGGUCUCGUCUGACUCAGACCUGUGAGGCCGCUUACAAGGGCUGCGGCGGUUUGAGCAGGGGCCAUGAGGCACCAGCAGCCCCAUGAAGCUGGAAGUCACCUGGAGGUGACAGUCUCCUUCCCUGCUGUGAAGCAGCAUAAAGGGCAACGGCUGUGUUGCCAUCUCAGGUGGACACGGGGCACUGUGCGCUGUUAGGACUAUAAAAAGAGACAUGUAUGUAUGUACAGCACCACUAUAGACAUAUGGAGAUACAUAUAUAUAUAUAUAUAUGGGUCCUUGUACACCAUGUUAAAACUGAAACAAGUUGACAAGGAAAUAACAGCAUGUAGUUUCCUUUAUUGGCGAGUUUGCUAGCAUGGACAGUCCUAGUGUUUCUGAUUUUUUCUGAUAGUACUUCUGGCCUAAAUCAAAACCACUACAUAAUCUAGUAAUGCCUAAGAACCAUCCAUUUCAAACACUGCAUGCUCUAUUCUGACAACAAACAUUACUGUUCUAUUUCUGUUUAUUUGUGUAGUACCAACCCGGAGUUCCAUAUUUUCAACAAAAUUAACAGUAAAGACCAACUCCAGGUCUUUUGAUAUCCUGGAAUCAAGGUGAAACACUGUUUCCUGGCCCUACAUAAUUCACGUGUGCUUUCAGAUUGCUGCUAGUAGAGCUGUUCCUCAGCAUCUCUUAUAUUGAAAAUAGGUCUUUUGCUCAUAGGCAGCCUUUAACAAACUAUUGGAGACUUGCCUAGGAUCUUGUUAACCACAUUGCUGUUAUCCAAACUAUUCCAGGCCAGCCAGUCCCCUUGCAAAGGUCUUUCCCUUCCCCUGGAGAUGGGGCAGAGGUGGCUAUUGUAGUGAUUAACUGGGAAGAAGCUGAGCUGCCAGCACCAAUAGCUUCCCAGCCUUGAAUCAAGAGAAACAGCUGUCCACUUCUUUCCUCCAUAAAGGAGGCUGUUAGCAGCUUUGGUACAUUUUUCCUUCUGGUUUUGAUGAGAAAAAGUAUUGUUCUCAUUCUCCUCUUAGAAACUAUUAUAUAAGAGUUCUUUUACAGACAGUAAAAGCAAGCACAUCAGUUAACAUUUGCAGGCCAAGUAUGCAAUUGCAGAAACAAUUUUUUUUUUAAUUAAUGGCCAAAAAUGAAGGCCCCUUUCAGUUCCUGACACUCUGCUGGCACCAGAAGUGCAAAGUUACUCUGAAGUCUUAAAGAGUUUUCCUUUGGUGACUUCAGUUUCUUUACUAUUGAGGAGCUCAGCCUCCUUGCUGGUGGGGUGCAGGUUGAGGAAACACUCUGCUCAGAUGCUCAGGAACACGCUAUCUUGGUAGUAAUACAUGGAUACACCACUCAAAGAGCAUCUCCAAACCCUCUGUGGGUACCAGUCUAGUUCUGUUUCCCUCUUCUCCCACCUCACAGCUGUUUAUAUCACGUGUUCCCUCACUUCCCUUUUGUUAAUGUAUUAUACAGCAGCAGCAGCACAUGGCAGAUGAAAAUCAUGGAAGCAAGACUCAUUAGGAUUCCACGUCCUUUGAGUGAUACAUAAAAAAUGCUGUGUGAAAUGUCAGGAAAGUAGGUUUUGAAGUUUUGACAGAUGUGAGAAAAGGAGAAAUGUUUGCCAUUUGUCUUAAUGACACUUUAACAUGUUUGGAGAGCCAAUAAAAAAACCCCACAGCCCAACAACAACAACCAAACACACACGCACAAACACAAAAACCCCAACAAAAACUAACAAACCACCAUCAACAAAAAACACCACCCUGAGCAACAAUUUGGGAGGGAUGUGAGCUGUUCCCAAAAGCGAGGCUGGAGCUGAGAACAGACCCAAAGGGUAUCAGUGGUCCUGGUCCUUUGCAUAGACUGCCAAAAGAGAACAGCGAGAGAGAUAAAAGUAAGUGAAAAUCAUGAUCCUUAAUGACUUAAGCUUGACUUCUGGGUAAGAGCUGAUCAGCAUAUCCCUCCCCACAAUGCUACAGCCCUUAGGACUCCUCAGAUGGCAGCCAGCAGUACUAACAGAUGCAAAUAUGAUAGGAGUGUAAGAGAAAGUAUUUACGUGUAAUGACUACCCCAGCCAAGACAGUUAUUUUCAGUGUUAUAUCUGAACAAAACAUUCCUCAGGUAAGAUCUAGUCCUGCAGCUAUUAGACAAUAAGUUGCCAUUGACCCAAAAUUGUCCAACAGGGGUUUAAGUUUUGUUUGCUGGAUUUGCAGGAGAAGAAAGGAGAGGUCAUGGACACACCAGUUUCUUUUGGCCCUGAGCCUGGGAAGGGACUCUCCCAGGUUUGUGAUGAUAUGGCUUCGGUGGCUGCAUCUUUUGUCCCCUUUAGGCUCUAAAUGCUCAUUUCUCUCCACUGUGGGGAAAGACAUUACUGGCAAGAAUAGUGCUUCACACUUUUAGCCAAACCUACUUAAUCCCAUCAACUGCAUUUCCCAAAAACAGGCUUUCACUUCCAGCAAAUACGACUCAGCUCCCCUCUAAGAAAUUAUCUUGCUCUUCACAGUUUCAAGGCAAAAACUGCCUGAUAAACAGGAAAACCCACCGGGUUCAACAUGGUACAAGUCACCAUGGGCUGGGUGAGCUACGAUGGGAAGAGCCCCCAAGCAGGUAACCGCUUCGGCAAAAUACACCUUUCCUUACAGAACUCUGGGAAGAUGAACCCAGGAUAAGUGUUUAGUUAAUAACCGGUAUCUAUUGUCACUUGGGUGCCAACAGUGGUACAGUAAGGUACAGUUGGCAUCUGUGGCAAAAAUCCCUCCAUCUAAUCUUUCAAAAUAAUCUGAAUUAAAAAAAAAAAUGCACAUAGCAUUACAGCAAAGGACACAAAAUUUGUGUCAGCACCUACCCCAAUGGCAAGAAGUGAGAGUGGCAAAGGAUGUACUUUCAGUUAUUAAUCUCACCUAGUCUUGUCCCCAUUCCAAGGAACAGGAUGGCACCCUGGAAGAGCAGUAGAAGAGGAGGUCCAAGUGAUGCAGAACUCUUCCAUAUGCAGGAAGUUUUACGCAAUCUCGAUUUCAUUAUUCAGUAUUUAUGAAGUCAAAAUUUCUGAUGAUAAACAAUGCAAUAGCACUGUAGCACGUUUAUUUGAGUUAGAAAUGAGCAAUGCCUUAUCACGAGGAACUAGUUCUGGUUGAACUAUUUGUGGUGGAGAAUCAAUUUGUUGAAUUUAGUCCUUUUGCCAGCUCAUGAAUUGUCCUGAAACAGAUGACAAUUUUCAUGAAUAUGUCCACCGCUCAAAAUUAUCUGACAAGCAAUGCAAACAUAUUCCAGACUAAAUUGCUGGUAAGCUGCUCACUGUGAUUACUGCUUAGAGUAUUUGAUAUUAAAAAUUGAGCUGUUUUUUCCUUGGGCCCGUAGCUCACCUGAUUUGUCAGUACCCUGACUGGAUAAGCACAGCUUAUUCAAGUACAGAUAUUUACAAGAGUAAAUUGCUAAGACUUUCUCCUCCAUCCUUUGUUUGCUUCUAUCUGCUUGACUUUCUAGACUGUAAUCUCCAGAGGCAGAAUUUCACAGCCUCUCACAACAAAACAUCAUCCUCGGUCAGGGCCAUCAGGCCAGCCUGGGAUAUUGGAUAGUGAUAUAACUUGGGGGGGGUAAAAAAAAAAUAAAUCACAAAAUAACUACCUCAUUUGCGCUUUUCUCUUGCUACAAAGCCACCACCACAUAGAGCCGAUGUGAAGUUUACAUAAUGAACACUCUAUCUUUUGAGAUCUGUGGGUUAACGAUCCACAUUUUCAUGUGUUUUCUUAAUGGCCCGAGAGCUGGAGCAAAGUAAGGCAGACAGUGUUGACUGUCAUGUUUGCUGCGAGGCUGGAAAUGGGCAGCCAGCCGGCGGCAUCUCCCGCCAUGGCAGAAAUGAGCUCCCGGUAAUUUGCUGCUCAGCUGGCUCUGCAGUGGCUGCGGUGUUAUACAAGGAUCCACCCAAGCCAGGUAGCUGCAAUGCCAGCAGCAGCUCAGCCACAUGUCGCAGCGAGGACCUCAAAAAAAGGCUCCAAACCCACUACAGAAUCGGGGAAAAUUAGGGAUAUAGCCCAGCACCAGCCUCUAAUUACUGCCUUAAUCCCCAAAACUGCACUGGCACAAAUUAGCCAGCUGAGAUGCCAGAUCUGGUAACACAGAAGUGACUGCAAUAUCAAAAACUCUUGCUAUGAGAAGCUGGGAAAAAUAGAGAUAGGAUCAGGCCCAAACCUCUGCCCAAACUCUUUCACACCCCAGCUACUGAGCAUUAGAAUAACUGCUGACAGGAAUGAGCUUAACUAACGCUCUCCAACAAUAUCAUUUUGAUCAUCUGUGGACUCAGGAAAAAUUUCUACACUGGCUUACACUGGUUGCGUUUUUAUUUGCAGCUCAGUAAGCUUUGGAUUAUUAUAUUGAAAGGAAGGAGGCUGUAUAUAAAGCCAGCUCUGUAAAGCACUGCAAACAGGACAGGCUCUUGUUUCAGGAGAGAUAUGGCUAAAAUGCAGUCACCACAGAAAUAAUGUGGAAAUCCAUCACACAUGCAUAAACAUUUCUUCCAGUAUAUGUUAUUAAUUUCCUCACAGAUCCCCCGCCAAGGUUUUCAACUGAGGUAACUAAGAGAGCCAAAUAUCUAGAUUAUUUUUUACCUCGUCAACACUUAAAUCUAUGUUAUUAAUUUGUCAUAUGCAGAUUAGCUAUUAUUAUGCAAGCACUUGCAUGGCAGAGAAGCAAAUCCAGGCCCCUGUGAGAAGUGAGCCCUUUCCAUUUCAAAAAGUCAUCUAUCUGCUAAUCCAUUUUACAGCAUUCAAUCUUUACCACUUGCUUUCGCCUUUCCCAUUUCCCCUGCUCAUUCCCAGCCCACAGCAGUACCUGGGCCUACAGCAGUCCUUUGCAGAAGUAAAGGAGAUUUCUUCCUCCAGCAUCACUGCAAGAACAGUCUCCAUUCUCAAAAAUGGCAUGUAUAGGAAGGCUUUUCCCCUGUAUAACAUGAGUGAUACCAAAUUCUCUCCUCCUGCGGGUGCAGUGAUGUGAAAAAUAGAAAAACCUGUUCUGCUGGACCACAUGGGUCUGGCUUUACAUCUGGAGAACCAAACACAAAUAAGGAAGGCCUGGAAAUGAAAGCACAUGCUGUUUGGGAGAAAAACCAACAAACAAAUUCUUAGAAUUUGUUGUUGCUUAUAUAUAUAUAUAUAUAUCUGUAUUAUUUUUUUUUUAACAAAUCCUUGAGUCAGAGCAUGGGAAACAAAGAGCAGAAGUACUGGGACCGGUGUCUCCCUGCCCGUGAUGAGGUGCACAGAACGGGGGACACAAAGCAAGAUUCAUGGUCCCCACCUUGCCCCAAGGAGGACAAGAGCAUGAAUGUGCUGCUGGCACAGGCAGGUACCCAGUGCCCCACAGUGGGAUUCAGACCCACUAUAGGUGAUGUGAGAGGGAUUUUCCAGUGGGCACCAGGUACCACUUUGGGAAAGCCCAGCAGCCCCCACUGACUUUCUGUCCACCUCUGAAGAGCCAAGCUAAGACCUGUGUAGUGCAGGCACAUUGGUAUCGUCCUCUGCUGGAGCAACCUGCUUCCCACUGAGCUCCGCCCGGUCCUCUCGCACCCAGCUAUGGAGGGAAGCAGCAGCUGCUCCGGUGCUUGGUGUAUUCCGCAGUUUAAUCAGACUCUACCUCCAAAUACUAAAGGCAUAAAUAGACUUACGGACUAUGAAGUACUUCAAGAGGUCAUCCAGCCUGUUUCCUUGAUUUAAUGCUGGAUUAGUUACAGUAUAUCAUUCCUGCCAAAGCUAGAUCUAAUCUACUUUUCGAGAUCCUCGGCAAUGGAGAUUUGACAGCCUCCACAGACUGCUGCCUCACCAUCAUUACCAUUACAAAGUCUCUCCUUGACGCCUAACUUGAGUCUUCCUUGUGGCGACUGAAGACCACUGCUUCUCUCCCAGCCACCAGAGAUGGAGGAGAUAAUUCCCUGCUCCCUUGCAGUGGCCUUUCAUCUCUGUGAAGACCGGCUUCACACCUCCUCUCAGUCCUCACCUCUCUGGGAUAAACACAAUUUCAGUCCUUUCUUGGUGACACGUUUCCUUCUCGCUUCACUCUGUACAGGUGUGUGCCAGCAAACAAGAUCAGUACAGUUAAAGAAAUUGGGGAGAUGGCUUGUGCUUAAGUGAAACUGCCCAAGAGAAACUCUAAUGUGCUAUUUGGCAUUUACACAGAAAGUUGUGCAACUAUUUACCAAGCACUCAGUAAACACAGUUUUUAACCGUGGCAACCUCUGUAUCAUGCAGCCAGCAUUCAUAGACAGCUGUUUCAAAUAAACAGCCAACAGACCUGAAAUAGCAUCACACUACCGCCUUAAUUAUUAGCCCAUUGAUCUUGUAUCGUGUGUAAAUAGGAACCUCAGAGAGCACUUUCGGAGGAGAGAAACGUGAAUCUUAAUCAGCCCAGAUAAAAAAAAGGGCACUGUACACAGAUGAUGCUAGGAAUGCAGAAAUUUCUUCCUCUCUGAAAGAGUAUCCCAGUUAUUCAGAAAAUAUAUGUAUCAACCCAAAUGCACAGAAAAACCAAAACAUGACUCACGCGACAGAGAAUAGCAGGUGCCACCUGCUGUUACAACCCGCUUUUGCUAUUAUAUAUGUCACACAUAUGUACUGAUGCUGAUGCGAUAAUAACAACAUGCAAAUGCUGCUUUAAUAUCCAGGUCCUCAUUUUGGGGACAUGACUCUUGGGUCUGCACAUGGUUUCAACCCACAACUUGUAAUUGCUAUAAGUUGGUGACUUCAUCAGGUGAGUGUCAAACUCAAUGUGUUGCACUUGCACUCAGUAGGAGGACAGGUAUUAGCAGAUGCCAAAUGGGGAUGCUAAUUCAAAAGACACGAUUAAGCCUAUUUAUGAAUACAAGUCUAAAUACCCAUAACCCAUUGUCUAUGCAAGCAUCUCAAUGCAUCCCUGUCUUGUUCAUAAUCCCAGCUUCCUGUCUUUAGUCUUAACCCACAGAAGAUCACCUUUUCCUGGCUGGACACAUUGGUGAUGGUGGAGACAAAGACAACUCUACUUAUAGCAAUACCGGCCUCUCUGCCCCCAAGUGCCACAUGCUGCCCUGCUACAAAUUUUUGGCAUCUGCUCCUUCGGCCAUAAGGCUUACCUGUCUCUGGGUUGGCAGCCAUCUGAGUGUGGGGUGGUUUUAAGGAUGGUUUCUGAGCUUGUGCUAGCCUCUUGUUAAAAAAUUCAAUCCAGCGCUGCAGCAUUGCUGUGUUGAGGCUCCCAGUCGGCCUACGUGGAACUGAUGGUGGGCUGAGUCGGGUGGUUUGGUAGUCACAAAGCCCUUCCUUGGUACAUUUAUGCAGUAACUUGACAAGAGGAGCAUGAAAAAGAUGGGAUGGGAGGUUGUUUUUCCAAAAGAUAAUGUGAUCAAAGGUGAUUUAGUGAGCAGGUACAGCAGGACUUGUGCUCCUCACUGGCUGCGCUCAGACCAAAAUGGAGUUGCUGAAACUCAAAGGAAGACAAUUUUUGCAAAUGACAUCAAAGACUAUAUUUUUGUUGAGAUUAAGAUAAACAAAAUUCUUCACAAGAACAAACUUUAAAUUCAUGGUUUUUUUAAAACCAAAAAGGCGCUUUUUUCAUAAUUAAGAAAACUUUCAGUAGAAACAUACAUGUAAUCAAUAGGUUAACUUUACUAAUUUGGAUUAAAUACAAACUACUCAAUAUGCUGUUGCAACAUGCCAAAUGACCUUCACAGAAAACUAAGUAGAUUCUGCCCCAAAACUGACAGGAGCAUGGGAUUUCACUGUGCAAUGGGUCAGUAGGGAAACGCGUGGCUUUCUCCAUAGCUCAGCCCAAACGUCACAAGAAGCUAUGAAAGCAAACUGGGUGCAAACGGUCCCCUCAGAGCACCAGCCCCCAUCAUGGCUGAGGUGUUUCUCAGCCCCCCACAAACCAAAUGAGGGGCAGACACCGUGUGUCCCACAGAAGAGCAACAUCCAGGCAGACUGGGCCACAAGAGGCUGGAGCCAACACGCGCAAAGCCAGUGUGUUCACCUCCAUUUCCAUGGCACGAGGACUUGGCCUCCAUCCCAAAAGAAAAGCGAUACUGCAGUCUGGUGUUGCAGUCCUGGGGCAAGAGGGAGGGCUGCAGCAUUGCUCUGGGCUCCUCGCCACAUUCCUAAUCCCCCAUAGUCUUUAACCACAGGCAGAAAUCGUGAUGACCUCGCAAAGAGUUGGUACCUACCUUGGACUCAGCACCAAAGCAUCCUAAAAGAGCUGGUCUUCACAGCGGUAAGCACUACUCAAAGAGAGCGCCACCAAAUUCUUCAUUAUUAUUGGCUGCUUCCUCUGCUUUUUGGGGGUGUUUUAUUUUCCUUACACAUGCAUGCCUGCAUGAGGGCCACCAUCAUUGUCUCCUAUUGCAGUAUCUUGCUUAAAUGUACUCCUGCAGAAACACAAGGCAAAGACACCUCAGCGACAAUUGCUAUCUAAGAUACCUUUCACUUCACCUCAAUAUAUACUCCAUACUUAACACUGUUCAUACAGCAAGUCUCCUCUUGAUUGCCUUAAUAAUAAAAAGAAGAAAAAGAGCAAGAGAAGUAAACCGCUAAGUUUCCAAAUAGAUUAUGCAGAGAACAACGGAAUAAACCCCCAAAAUCUAACUUUCUGGGUGCAAAAAGGCCCGGUGUGUGGAAGUUGAGUGCUGAACUGUAAGAUGACCUGAGUGAAGCGUCCCGAAGGAGGGGAGUGUCUACAGGGGGAGGGAGCAAGGCAGGCACACCGAGCCCUGCCUUUGUAUCACACUGCUGGGGGAAAAAAUCAGUUUGUUAUGGUUGGCAGAUCACACUUUACCCUAUUUAGACCUAGAUGGAGAAAAACACAGGUAAAUAUCACCUAUAAAAGAGGUUCAAGUCAGCCUUUGCCUACCGCGGGCGGGAAUGCGCUAACGUAAAUGCAGAAAGAAAUCUGGUUCCCUCUGGAUAAAUGCAGAUGACAGACGAAAUAUCAUGAGUGGCAAAUUGUUGUACAAGUGCAGAAUGCAUUUAACCCUUUCCAACCUCCCCCAAAGCCAUCAUAAGAUCUUUUACUUUUCCUAGACCCCUGCACUGACACACACACACAGAUGGUAUUUGGCUUUAUAUAAACAGACAAGUGGAGAUGAGUAGCUCCAGACCAAGGUUCCUGCAUGGUUAUAACCUACCCGGAGCAGAGUCCCCAGGGCCAUACAGCCUCCUAGCCCAUCUGGGAGGCAUUUCUUCUCCUUAGCAGCAUAGGUGAAGUGCAGAUGACAUGUCUGAAUUACAUCACGGCCAGCCACGGUGGUUUGGUCUUCUGCAAUCCCAGUGACAGGUGAGUUAUCUGUGCCUUCACACAAUCACCCUUUUUACCACUAAUUUUUAGGCCUUCACAAUAAUUUUACUGCCUGCUCAAAUCUUCUCCCAUCCAUCUUUUCUCCCCCUUGACAAAUAGAAGGCCUAGUUUUACUUUUUUUAAAAAUUUGGUUUAAAAAAGCCAGCAGAAUCAUUCCCUUUGAACAGCAAGACCACGCGGACUCACGCCUGAGAGUUUGAACAGCAGCUGUUGCAGAAAAUCACCUAUUCAUUAGGCUUCCAAGGAGAGCCGAUCAAAUUACUCAAUACAAAUAAUUUAUCUGACAAUUCUCUCUUUGCAGAUUGUCUACAUGCAGACCACUUUUCACCGGUGCAAAACUCCUUUUUUUUCCCCACAAAAAACGUGUUAAAAGUUUCACCGGUUCUCUCGGCGGUUGCUAGGAGCGCUCAUUAUUUGUAAGUCAGUAUUUGCGCUGAGAGAUUGGCACAUGCUAUUGUUUCCACACUCUGCUGAGAUGACCUACACUGCAAAACAGGCCUGGAUAAAAUUGCUGAAGCUUUGUCUUUCCUCUCUAGGUAGUGUACUGAGAGGUGGAUGUGGAGAAGCUGACCCAGGCAAUGUUAAGAUAUUGCAAACCUCUUUCUCCCCACCAGUAUGGGACAAGGGGAGGGGGAAAGCACUUAACGAUAUAAACGGAUCCCAAAUUUAAACCUGCCUGGGUUCUUUCCUCAGGCUGAGACAGAAAAACAUACAUCUAAAAGCCAGUAUCUGUUGGCUGUUUAGCAAGUUUACAUUCCAUUUUCUCUUGUCAUGCUGACACAAAUUAUUUGCUCUUGUGUCUGGAUUGCUAUUUGCAAAGGGUGUAGUGAGUACCCUCAGCCUUUCUUAUUUGAUUAACUGUCUAAAAGCUGUAGCUCUUUGGAGGCAGGUGGAAAGUUCCCCAUUGAGUGGCCCAGAGCCUGUAAACAACACAAAUUUGCUCUUUCUGUGUGUGGUUGGGUCCCGUGCUCAGCCCCAGGGUCCCAGUCUCCCUCUCCUCGCAGGCCGGGUCCUGGCGGGUGGGCUGGCAGCUCUGUCACCCUUCAGCACGUUAAUGCAAAGGGACACGAGCAGCCAUGGGACGACCUGUGAUGAUGCCAAUUAAUUUGCACUGUAGCAAACACAGAGGCCCUUCGGCCACAGCCCCACAGCCCCUCUCCACCGAGUGCGGGGGUCUCAGGUGCCUCAGCCCCCACAGGACCCCUGGUUACAGCCCUCAGCUGGCUUUAAAGAAGAAAAAAAUUCCCUCCAUGCGAUGCAGCCUGCGUGUCAGCCUGCGGCACAAUGAUUGAUGACACAGCUGCUUCUGCAGCCCCCGUUGGAGAUCUCUAAUUUAAUUAAUGGCUUUCGGCAUGUGUGUAACAUAACUCCUGCAGCACCUCCGCGGCCCCGGGGAGCGCGGGGACCGCAGGGUGGCUGCUCUGGCACGGGCAGGGAGAUCAGGGGGUGGGAAGACAGAUGCACAGACACAAGGGCCAGAUGCGAUCGGGCACCUCGCAGGUUUGCAUUAACCUUCACGUAGGCAGGGGCACGUGGAGCCUGCGUUUGGCGAGCCUCCCUGGCCGGGCCAGCAGCAGCAGCCUCCCAAGCUGCUGUGCAGAUGUGGUCUCUGUCUGCCACGUCCUCAGGAAAGCUGCGAGAAGGUGGGCACCGCUCCACGGACCACCUGAGAUCUCGCUCAACUUUCUGCCUGCGAUGCACAAGGGGAAAUGCCUGGACCUGGUGGCAAGGAGGGGUCUGGCAGGUGGGAAGGAAUCAUUUGUUUUCCCUUUAAUUGGAAGCAAAGGGAGAGCUGAAAGGGUUAAUGGUGUCUUUUCAGCCCAGAUGUAAAAGAAAAAAAAAAAAGCUAUCCUAAGCUUUCCUGAAAUCUGGAGAACUCAGAAGAAUGUGGCAAAAGUAUUUCCCAGUUGCAAAAUACUGCAGGAUGGGUUUUCUACCAUGGUGCCUUUGGUCCCUGAUAGGAGUAGGGGAUGCAAGGCCAAACCACAGAACAAGAAACUAGCUUAGAGAAAAGCUGGAUAACAUGACCCCACUACCUCCCCCCGCUAAAAAAUCCAUCCAAGUUUAGAGACUGAAGCAGCACCCAGAUCUCCCACACCUAACUUCAGUCAUGGCUAAAGAGUAUUGCCAAAAUACGGAAUAAGUUAGAACCAGUUCUGAGGAACAGCUGCCUUGGGAGAGCGAGCUGGGGGAGCUACGUGCAUGUCCCAGCUUACUAAAACAGAGGGUUUUCCCCAUCUUCUUCUUUAAGUCCCACCACUGAUGAAGGCUCCAGAGUAAGCCCUAAGCUCAGUAACAUGUCCAGUCCUCAACAAAGUAACAAAGCUCAGCCUUCAGGAGAAAAGCUACGCUCUUGCAGACCAGGAGUUCUCAGUCCAUGGAACAAACAAUAGAGACACUGCUGUGGGUUUGGUUUGCUAUUGAAAAAGGAAAGAACAAGGGCAAAGGAGAAAACUCAGGAGAACUUUGUUCGACUCCUAAAAUGGUCCCUAGCUGAAUGGGUUUGGGAUGAAGGGUACGCAUUUUAUUUUCUUCAGCAUGCCCUGCAGCAUUUGUCCAUCAUUUUCUUUGAGACGCACUAGUCUCGUUCAACUCUAAUAUUUACUGGUAAAAAUAUUCCUCUAUCUUGUUUAUCCUAGAAUAUUUCAACCUGGCACUGCAGUCAGGCAUUUCUGAGGAUUAUUUGCUUCUGCUCACCAGCCUCUUCAACUUUGGAUCAGGUUUUAAAAAUAGUAAGCUUUUUUUUUUCCUUUCCCUUCCCUUGCUGCUUCCUUUUCAUUACCAAGGUACAGCUAGAGAGAGGCAGAGAGACAGAGAUUCUCCUUUGUUUUGGACUUUCAGUUGGACCAAAGUCUUGUGCUUCAGAAAAGCUCUGCUGCUCUCCCAAAGGCCAUCCUUCACUUCUGCUACGCCUCGUUGCCUCGCCUCCCUACAUGAGAGAAAACCCCCAACAAUAUCAUCUCCCUCGAGCUUUAAGAAAACAGGUAAUGAUGCAUGGAUGUGCAAUGAAAUUUCAGAAAUGUGCACUGACUUUUUAGAAAUAUGCCAACUGUCAAAUAAAAAAAAUAAAAUAAAAAAUCAGGCCUAGCCAAUAUUUAAACCGUGAAGUCCUCAACAGCACCAACUCUGAACUGCAGCCUCUGUUACAGCACAACAACUUGCCCAACAUUAUUUAGGAUUUACCCCCAAAAUGCCACCUGGUGCUUGACCCAAAAGAUGGUUUACUUAUAAUUAUUAGUCUGUCAUCAGCUUGCUGCUUAUCUGCUGCCAGCAGCCCUUGAAUGAGUUGUUUGUAAGGUUUUUGCAGGUUUUCGUAUUUGAAAAGCCUUAUAAAAAGAUACCUUUGGUUGUAUAAUGGCAGAAAUAUAUGUACAGAGAUAUCUAUCAUGAAGGAUUUUGUAUUUGGUACUUACUUGAAGACAAUGUGAUGACGAUACCUUCUGAGCAACUUACAGGAGCCGAGCUGUAGAUGUAAAUACAUAAACAAGUCAAUACAAAUAUGCGUAAACUCUC